UGUUUACCGGCUGUCCCCGCGGGCGGAAGAGCGAAUCGCGCCCCAUCCAUCAACAGGCUCGCAGCCUCCCUAAUAAAAACAUUUUACUCCUAAAUGAUCUCGAACUAAUUAACUCAAAGUGUUAAUUAAAGUUUGCGCAGACAGCAUUGUCAUCAGGGAGGGCGGUGGAUCCAUCUUCCUGAGAGAGAGACAGGGUUGGGGGGGGCGCAUCUGGAGAAGAAGGGAGAGCCCCCCAUCCCCCUCCCACACUCCUCUCGGUCCACUGGCCGUCCCCACCUGUCCUGGCAGCCUCCCCUGGCUUCAUCCUGUGCAUCUCUGGCUCUGCUCUCUGAGUUUUUCUCUGUUGCUCUCUUUACCUGCCUGGGACUCCCCCACCUCUGUCACUAUGUCGGUCUCUGUCCCUGAGUGUUUAUGUCUUUUUGUUCCCGUCUCUUGCUCUUUCCCCAGAACACGGUCGCCCAUGUUGCUCCUACUUCCCACGAAUGUGUCACCUUUAUCAUGUGUCUGUAUGUGCCUUGGGGUUACGUGUGUGUGUCAGAAUCUGUAUGUGGACACGCCUAUGUCAGAGGAUACACGUGUGGAUGUGUGUAUCAGAGCGUGUGGAUGUGUGUGCGUGCACAUGUGUGUUGGAGCCCAGAGGCGUGUGUGUGGACGCGUGAAUGUUCAUGUCCGGGCAUGCACAGGCAUGCACGAACCCAGGGCUUGUGUGUGUAUCUGGAUGCGUGUGACCGGUGCCAGGCUGUGGGACUCCAGCAGGGAGUCCCUGAGACCGCGCUUGAGGAGCUCCGUGGGUCCCUUGGGACAGGGCCUGGGUCUCCUUCCUGUUUCCCUCCAACACGGGCAGGAAGGAGCAGAGCUGCAGGUAGACUAGGGGGCAUUAAACACCCUGAGGGUGUUCUCUCUCAGUAGGGUGUUAACUACAGUCGUCUGCUAUUGCAGCCUCCCUGGGGAUGUUAACUACAGCUUAAUGGUCCCCCUCCUGCGAGACGCUUCCUUCGGUCAGGACGCGGCACACUCACUCCGGCAUCCUCCUCACGGAUCCCCGCCAACAGCCUGGGGCUCAGAGAGGGAACGCUGACUGCCCAAAGAUGCACAGCCCAAAAGGUGUCACAGAAAUCAGGAAGGUGUUCUCCCGGACUGGGGGGGAGGGGGGUGAUUCUGAGCGGUCAGACGGGUGUGUGCGUGCCUGCCUCUGGGCAUGACUGUUCAGCCUAUCUGGUCCUGGCCACCAAGGGCACCAGAGCU